AAUUAAAAUCCCUAAAUCACUACCCUCUAAACCUAAAUCUGCAUAUUCCUCCCAAAGUCUAUGAAUAUGUAUAUUGAAACCAGAGGUACAUUUUCUACUCUUCCACUCUUCAUCUCUGUCAAUGUAGGUUUACAACCCAUUUGUGCAGGUUUGGGGAGAAAAUUAAACUAAGAAUGGACUACUACCUCACCAAAAGUUUUGUGGCCAAACACUUCACGUUGCUAUUUACCUUUUGAAGUGUGGAUGAUCACACUUGAUGAAUUGGGUUUUGGAGAUUGAAGUUUAUAAUGAGAUUAGUGUCUGAUAGAAAAAGAUAGCAUCGGUUUGAUUACGCCAUAUUAUACACUUUAACCGCCGUUUUCCAAAUAAAUAAAUAAUGGCUGUUGAACUAACGCCAUAAUGUUUUGCUUAUUACAGCGGUUCAAAUGAGCUGCCAUUUUAAAACCGCCGUUAAUUUUUCGUUUAUUUGUAGUGCAAGUAAAAAAGCUUAUUUGGUGGGCAUACAAGUUGACUAUUAUUUUGCUAGAAAUAUUGGAUAAACUUUGUAUAAUGUCUAGGGAUGUUAGUUAGGUUUUUUGUGUGAGUUCUGUCAACAACAUCGUGAUUGCUUAAUUGAAGUGUACCUGUA